GGAAUAUGUUUAUCAAAAUAUUCUAACAGUUCUGUUAAUAAUCGCCAUAAAACAUCGUAUAGCACACGCAUUUUGGAAUAACAAUUGAACUGAGGGUUUUUGAUUGCAUACUUACAGAAUACAUGUAUUCUCUUACUUUUAAAUGAAUCAUAAACACCCUUCUUCUAUCAAAUGUACCUUACGAUACUGUUCAUAAUAACAAAACAAUGAAAAUAUAAUUUAACUUAUAAAAUACGAAACAAUAUUUGUUGUAAUUCUUUAAGAUCUCAUGUGUAUGUUAAUUUGAGCAAAAAAUAUUUUAUGACAAUAAACCAUGGAUUUAC
rnacentral:sRNA from 1 species